UACGUAGGGGGCUAGCGUUGUCCGGAUUUAUUGGGCGUAAAGAGCGUGUAGGCGGUUCGGUAGGUCCGUUGUGAAAACUCGAGGCUCAACCUCGAGACGCCGAUGGAAACCCUCGAACUAGAGUCCGGAAGAGGAGAAUGGAAUUCCUGGUGUAGCGGUGAAAUGCGCAGAUAUCAGGAAGAACACCCGUGGCUAAGGCGGUUCUCUAGUACGGUACUGACGCUGAGACGCGAAAGCGUGGGGAGCGAACAGG
rnacentral:rRNA from 1 species